rnacentral:rRNA from 1 species
GCAUAUCAAUAAGCGGAGGAAAAGAAACUAACAAGGAUUCCCCCUAGUAACUGCGAGUGAAGCGGGAAAAGCUCAAAUUUAAAAUCUGGCAGUCUUCGAUUGUCCGAGUUGUAAUCUAGAGAAGCAUUAUCCGCGCUGGACCGUGUACAAGUCUCCUGGAAUGGAGCGUCAUAGAGGGUGAGAAUCCCGUCUUUGACACGGACUGCCAGGGCUUUGUGAUGUGCUCUCAAAGAGUCGAGUUGUUUGGGAAUGCAGCUCAAAAUGGGUGGUAAAUUCCAUCUAAAGCUAAAUAUUGGCGAGAGACCGAUAGCGAACAAGUACCGUGAGGGAAAGAUGAAAAGAACUUUGGAAAGAGAGUUAAACAGUACGUGAAAUUGCUGAAAGGGAAACGCUUGAAGUCAGUCGCGUUGUCCGGGAAUCAACCUUGCUUUUGCUGGGCGUACUUCCUGGUCAACGGGUCAGCAUCAAUUUUGACCGUUGGAUAAAGUUGCUGGGAAUGUGGCAUCUUCGGAUGUGUUAUAGCCCAGUUUCGCAUACAACGGUUGGGAUUGAGGAACUCAGCACGCCGCAAGGCCGGGUUUUUAACCACGUUCGUGCUUAGGAUGCUGGCAUAAUGGCUUUAAUCGACCCGUCUUGAAACACGGACCAAGGAGUCUAACAUGCCUGCGAGUGUUUGGGUGGAAAACCCGAGCGCGUAAUGAAAGUGAAAGUUGAGAUCCCUGUCGUGGGGAGCAUCGACGCCCGGACUUGAACUUCUGUGACGGAUCCGCGGUAGAGCAUGUAUGUUGGGACCCGAAAGAUGGUGAACUAUGCCUGAAUAGGGUGAAGCCAGAGGAAACUCUGGUGGAGGCUCGUAGCGAUUCUGACGUGCAAAUCGAUCGUCAAAUUUGGGUAUAGGGGCGAAAGACUAAUCGAAACCAUCUAGUAGCUGGGUCCUGCGA